UGAAAGCCCUGGCCAGAAGUUUUUUG
rnacentral:piRNA from 1 species